AACGCGAAGAACCUUACCUGGGCUCGAAAUGUAGAGGACGACAUCAGAGAUGAUGUUUCUCGAAAGGGUCUCUAUAUAGGUGCUGCAUGGCUGUCGUCAGCUCGUGCCGUGAGGUGUUUGGUUAAGUCCAGCAACGAGCGCAACCCUUAUCGUUAGUUGCCAACACGUAAUGGUGGGAACUCUAACGAGACUGCCUGGGUUAACCAGGAGGAAGGUGAGGAUGACGUCAAGUCCGCAUGGCCUUUAUGUCCAGGGCUACACACGUGCUACAAUGGUCGGUACAGAAGGCAGCGAAACCGCAAGGUGAAGCAAAUCCCGAAAAACCGAUCUCAGUUCAGAUUGUAGUCUGCAACUCGGCUACAUGAAGUUGGAAUUGCUAGUAAUGGCGUGUCAGCAACAACGCCGUGAAUACGUUCCCGGGCCUUGUA
rnacentral:rRNA from 1 species